rnacentral:rRNA from 1 species
UAGGGAAUCUUCCGCAAUGGACGCAAGUUUGACGGAGCAACGCCGCGUGAGUGAAGAAGGAUUUCGGUUCGUAAAACUCUGUUGUUAGAGAAGAACAGCGCAUAGAGUAACUGUUAUGCGUGUGACGGUAUCUAACCAGAAAGCCACGGCUAACUACGUGCCAGCAGCCGCGGUAAUACGUAGGUGGCAAGCGUUGUCCGGAUUUAUUGGGCGUAAAGCGAGCGCAGGCGGUCAAUUAAGUCUGAUGUGAAAGCCCCCGGCUCAACCGGGGAGGGUCAUUGGAAACUGGUUGACUUGAGUGCAGAAGAGGAGAGUGGAAUUCCAUGUGUAGCGGUGAAAUGCGUAGAUAUAUGGAGGAACACCAGUGGCGAAGGCGACUCUCUGGUCUGUAACUGACGCUGAGGCUCGAAAGCGUGGGUAGCAAACAGG